UGUUGACCUCGGAUCAGGUAGGAAUACCCGCUGAACUUAAGCAUAUCAAUAAAGCGGAG
rnacentral:rRNA from 1 species